rnacentral:lncRNA from 1 species
CUGCUCUCAUGGAAUAUAUUUAUGUCCUUCACAUUGCAACUACAGCCCGAGUGAGGACCUCCCAGGAUACCUGCCCACAAACCUGCCCAGCGUGUAGUAUCCAACACAGAACAGAUUUGCAUUUUGAGGCCUAGAGAUGGGCUUGUGAAAGAGAUGUCCCUACAUGUGCUUCAGAUACCAAGGACUUUCAAAAUGGAAUGUUUUUAGACUUGAGAUCUGAUUUCUGCUACUCCCUUUCCUUGUAGAGCAAACACAAACUCCCACAAAGUCCAGGCAAGAGCUGGAAGGUUCCAACCAAAGUUAACAUCCAUUGUGCAGUCCAUUCAGGUAUAUGGGGCACGUCUGUCAUGCAAAACAGCCCAACCAUAAACCUGCAAGGAGGGAAAAUCAACCUGUGCCAGCUUCCUAUGUCUAGGCACAUUCCUCCAGGGCUGCAUGUGAACAAAUAAGCUAUGCCUCUUGCAUCUAGCCAACGCUGACCCCUCCUGCAUAGCGCCAUGCUUCAGAGCUCGGCUCUGACUGUACCUGCCAGCAAGGGCACACCCUGGGAGAGACAGUGCCUGCUGUCAGUUGUUGCUGCUGAGUGCAGGGACUUGGCCAAGGACACAGAGAAAAGGAGUGGAAGAGUAAGGGCUUGAACCUGGAUCCCAACCAAGUACGCUAUCCGCUUGUGACUGAGUGUUUCAACAACACAACCGUUUAUUUUUUUCCCAGGGAAAGCUCUGUCACUGCAGACUUGCCAUCGCCUUUCUGGCCUGUUGGAAGAGGGUAUUCUGCCAGGGAGCCAGCCUGACUCCUUCCCUUCUGUCUGAGGCAGGCUAGGAAAGCUCCCCUCGGCCUUUGAGCUGGUGCUCCAUGGCAGAUGCAGUCACAAAGAUGGAGAAAGGAAGAAAGGCUUCAGAGAAGUAUGGGAAUAACAGGAGGAAGAAAAAGUACCUAUUACUCUGUUUGUUCCAACUCCCUCACAUUCUGACUGUUUGCAGUGUGACUAAAAGAAAUAAGAAGAGUUUAAAAGUAAGCAACAAUUGAAGAGAGACAGUGUUUUCAGCAGCACAGUCAGCAUUGAGAGUGAGUCAGGGAUAGCUUCUCCUGCCUUCUCACAAACCUGUUUGGGAAUUAAAUAUUUUUUUCAAUGUUUCUAAUACCAAUUUAAAAUAAAUAAAUAAACAAAUCAGAAAGACUGAUAAAA